GCACCCAGCCCCGGGAGCCCAGUCGGGCGUCUGCUCUGCGUGGCCUGUGCCGGGCGCCCCGCGAGUGGGGUCCACACCACGCUCCUCCGAAGCCACGGUUUCCCAAGCGCGGUCUCCAGGUCCGUCCGUCCGCAGCCGACCUCGCACUCCCCUGCGUUCGAGGCUGCGGACUUCGGCGGCAGGACGGACGGCGCCUCUGCUUCUCAUUCCGCCCAGGGCCAGCCCGGGCCCAGGGGUACCUGCUGUGCGUCUGGCGCCGAGAUAUGGAUCAGAAACUUUCGAAGUUGGUAGAAGAGCUCACAACUUCAGGAGAACCCCGACUAAAUCCUGAGAAAAUGAAGGAACUGAAGAAAAUUUGCAAGUCUUCAGAGGAGCAGCUGAGCCGCGCCUACCGCCUGCUGAUAGCACAGCUGACCCAGGAGCACGCCGAGAUCCGUCUCUCAGCCUUCCAGAUUGUGGAGGAACUCUUCGUCAGGUCUCACCAGUUCCGGAUGCUGGUUGUUUCCAACUUCCAGGAGUUCCUGGAGCUCACGCUGGGCACAGACCCCGCACAGCCUCUGCCGCCCCCCAGGGAGGCGGCACAGAGGCUGAGGCAGGCGACCACCCGGGCCGUGGAAGGGUGGAAUGAGAAGUUUGGGGAGGCCUACAAGAAGCUUGCCUUGGGCUACCACUUCUUAAGACACAACAAAAAGGUGGAUUUUCAAGACACGAAUGCUCGGAGUCUGGCAGAAAGGAAGAGAGAAGAGGAGAAGCAGAAGCACUUGGAUAAAAUUUAUCAAGAAAGAGCCAGCCAGGCGGAGAGGGAGAUGCAAGAAAUGUCUGGAGAAAUUGAAUCCUGCUUGACGGAGGUAGAGAGCUGCUUUAGGCUGCUGGUGCCUUUUGACUUUGACCCGAACCCGGAGACGGAAUCCCUUGGCAUGGCUUCUGGCAUGUCCGAUGCCCUUCGCUCCUCCUGCGCGGGCCAGGUGGGCCCCUGCCGGUCUGGCACCCCUGACCCCCGGGACGGGGAGCAGCCCUGCUGCAGUAGAGACCUGCCUGCCUCUGCAGGCCACCCCAGAGCGGGCGGCGGGGCACAGCCAUCCCAGACAGCCACAGGUGACCCCUCAGAUGAGGACGAGGACAGCGACCUCGAGGAGUUUGUGCGGAGCCACGGGCUGGGCUCGCACAAGUACACGCUGGAUGUGGAGCUCUGCUCAGAGGGCCUGAAGGUGCAGGAGAACGAGGACAACCUUGCUCUCAUCCACGCCGCCCGCGACACACUCAAGCUCAUCCGGAACAAGUUCCUGCCGGCUGUGUGCUCGUGGAUCCAGCGCUUCACCCGCGUCGGGACCCACGGUGGAUGUUUAAAGCGUGCCAUUGACCUGAAGGCUGAAUUGGAGCUCGUACUGAGAAAAUACAAGGAGCUGGACAUCGAGCCUGAGGGAGGGGAAAGGCGCAGGACAGAAGCCCUGGGGGAUGCGGAGGAAGAUGAGGACGAUGAGGACUUUGUGGAGGUCCCUGAGAAGGAGGGGUAUGAGCCACACAUCCCCGACCACUUGCGGCCUGAGUAUGGGCUGGAGGCAGCACCAGAGAAAGACACAGUUGUGCGGUGCUUGCGGACGAGGACGAGGAUGGACGAGGAGGUGUCGGACCCCACCUCUGCGGCUGCUCAGCUGCGGCAGCUCCGGGACCACUUGCCUCCACCCUCAUCUGCCAGCCCCUCCAGAGCGUUGCCAGAGCCACAGGAGGCCCAGAAGCUGGCAGCAGAGCGGGCCCGGGCGCCUGUGGUGCCCUACGGCGUGGACCUGCACUACUGGGGCCAGGAGCUCCCCACAGCCGGGAAGAUUGUCAAGUCUGACUCCCAGCACCGCUUCUGGAAGCCCAGCGAGGUGGAGGAGGAAGUGGUCAAUGCCGACAUCUCCGAGAUGCUCCGGAGCCGCCACAUCACUUUUGCCGGGAAGUUUGAGCCUGUGCAGCACUGGUGCCGUGCCCCGAGGCCAGACGGCCGGCUCUGUGAGCGCCAAGACCGGCUGAAGUGCCCUUUCCAUGGGAAGAUUGUUCCACGGGACGACGAAGGACGGCCGCUCGACCCGGAAGACAGGGCUCGUGAGCAGCGGCGGCAGCUGCAGAAGCAGGAGCGCCCGGAAUGGCAGGACCCUGAGUUGAUGAGAGACGUGGAAGCAGCCACAGGGCAGGAUCUCGGCUCAUCCAGGUACAGCGGGAAAGGCAGGGGGAAGAAGAGGAGGUACCCCAGCCUCACCAACCUGAAGGCUCAGGCUGAUACCGCCCGCGCUCGCAUUGGGAGAAAAGUCUUCGCCAAGGCAGCUGUGCGGAGGGUAGUGGCAGCCAUGAACCGGAUGGACCAGAAGAAGCACGAGAAGUUUUCAAACCAGUUUAACUACGCACUGAACUAGAGAGCGGGGCCCAGUGCACUGGCCAUCAGCACUUUCUCCCUCUGCCAGUGUCUCAGGACAGCAGAGUGGGCGUGGGUCUGGGCAGUAACCAUGCUUUGUCUAUUACUGUGUUUGAUGUAAAGAAAUGGUGUGUUGCAAUGCCCUGAAGGUACGGCCGCUCUGCUGCUACAGGGUUCGGCAUCGUCUGGUGAUGGGUCUGGCCUCGCAGAAGAGGCCCUCGGGCCUGGAGAUGUGAACACAGGCAGCGACCCUGUUCCAGAGGGCUUCUGCGAGUCCUCGUGAGACCAGUGCUUGUCGUGGUGUGGGGUUCAGCACGGACGGAAUGUGUGUGCAGCUCAGCCUUCAGAGCGUGCAUUCCCCAGCCAGGAGGCGACCACUCAGAGGAACUCUGGGAAACCCACUUUUGUGCAAAUGCUGUUUUUAACACAAACACAAAGGCUAGUGAACCGUUCAGUCAUCUGCUUUCUGUUUCUGGAUGUGCCUUUUCAUACAUGUGUCCUCUUGUCCCUGGCUUCUUACACUUGGCGUUGUUUUUAAGGUUUAUCCAUGCAGUUCCCCUCCAAUGUAUAAAACAAAGGAGGUGAAAACCUGUCCAUGCGGAAGCUUGUGCACCCAUGUUCACAGCAGCAUUGGAGAAGGAUACCGAACAUCUUCUCGUGGGCUUACUGGCCAUUUGUGUAUCUCCUUUGGAGAGGAGUCUAUUCAAACCUCUUGCCUAUUUUUAAUUGAAUGAUUUAUCUUGAGUUGUAACAGUUGUUUUUUUUGUUUUUCCUUUUAGAGAUGGGCUUUUGCUCUUACCCAGGCUGAGUGCAGUGGCAGAAUCAUAGCUCAGUGCAGCCUCAAACUCCUGGGCUCAAGCCAUCCUUCCACGUCAGCCUCCCAGGUAGCUGGGACUACAGGCACACACCACAACACCUGGCUAAUUUUUUAAAUUUUUUGUAGAGAUGAGGUCUCACUGUGUUGCCCACGGUGAUCUCGAACUCCUAGCCUCAAGCGAUCCUCCUGCUUCGGUCUCCCAAAGUGUUGGGAUUACAGGCAUGAGCCACCACUCCUGGCCAGGAGUUUAUAUGUAUACUGUGGAUACUAGAUCCUCAUGUGAUUUGCAAAAACUUUAUUUAUUUAUUUAUUUAUUUUUGAAAUGGAAUCUUGCUCUGUCGCCAGGCUGGAGUGCAAUGGCGUGAUCUCGGCUCACUGCAACUACCACCUCCUGGGUUCAAGCGAUUCGCCUGCGUCAGCGUCCUGAGUAGCUGGGACUACAGGCGCGCACCACCACGCCCAGCUAAUUUUUGUAUUUUUAGUAGAGACGGGAUUUCACUGUGUUGGCUGGGAUGGUCUUGAUCUCUUGACCUCGUGAUCCACCCACCUCGGCCUCCCAUAGUGCUGGGAUUACAGGUGUGAGCCACCGCACUCAGCUGAUUUGCAAAAACUUUCUUCCAUACUGUUGUUUCACUUUCUGGAUAGUGUCCUCUGAAGCACAAAAGUUAAUUUUGAUGAAGUACAGCAAUUUAUCUGUUUUUUUCUUUUGUUGCUUAUGCUUUUGCUGUCACAUUUCAGAAGCCAUCACCUAAUCCAAGAUCACAGAGAUUUACACCUAGUUUCUAAUAAGCAUUUUAUAAUUUCAGCUCUUAUGUGUAGAUCUUUGAUCCAUUGUGAAUUAAGUUUUGUGUGUGGUGUAAGAGCCCACAUUCUUUUGCAUGUGGAUAUCCAGUUGUCCCAGCACCAUUUGUUGAAAACAUUAUUUUUCCCCAUUGAAUUAUCUUCGCACCAUUAUUGAUAAUCAGUUGACCAAAAAUGUACAGGCUUAUUUCUGGGCACUUGACUCUAUUCCAUUGACCUGUUUAACCUUAUGCCAGUGCCACAGUGCCUUGAUCAGUGCUGCUUUGUUGUGAGAAGUUUUACUUUGUUCUGCUUCAAGGCUGUUUUGACUCUUCUGCAUCUCUUGCAUUUCCAAAUGAAUUUUAGGAUCCACUCAUCAGUUUCUUCAAAAAAAAAAAAAAAGCAGCUGAGAUUUUUGAUAGGAAUUACAUUAAAUCUAGAGAUUGCUUUGGAAUGUAUUACCGUCUUAAUAUUAAAUCUUCUGAGUCAUGAGCUUCUGAUUAUCUUUCCAUUUAUUUGGGUCUUUUUAAAUUUAUUUCAACAGUAUUUUGUAGUUUUCAGUAUAUAAGUUUCUCACUUAUUUUGUUAAAUUUACUCAUAUUUUAUUAUUUUUGAUUUAUAACCAAAAGGACUAUAAAUGCAAUUAUAAAUUAUUAAAAGAUUAUAAAUUGCAUUUACAAAAGCAAUCACAAAUGUAAUUGUUUUCCAAAUUUCACUUUGGGGCUGAUCAUUGCUAAUAUGUGGAAGUACAACUGACUUUUGUGUAUUGAUCUUGUAUCCAGCAUUCCUUGCUGAACUUGUUUAUUCAUUCUAAUUAGUUGUAUGUUCCCUAAGAUUUUCCAUACACAAAAUCAUGUCAUCUGCAAACAGCUUUCUUUCUAAUCUGGAUUUCUUUUAUUUCUCUUACCUAAUUGCUCUGGCUAGUACCUCCAGGACAAUGUUGAAUAGAUGUGGUGAGAACAGACAUCCUCGUCUUACUCUUGAUCUUAGCGGGAAGCUUUCGGUCUCUCACCAUUGAAUGUGAUGCUAACAAUGCAGUUUUGUGUAGAUGCUUCUAUCAGGUUGAAAAAGUUACCUUCUCCUCCUAGUUUGUUGAGUGUUUUUGUCAUAAAGUAUUGAAUUUUGUCAGAUGCUUUUUCUCCAUCUGUCGAGAUGAUAGUAUGAUUCUUGUCCUUUAUUAUAGUGAUACAGUAUAUUACAUUGUUUCUCAUAUAUUGAACCGACCUUGCAUUCAUGGGGCAAAUUCUACUUGUUCAUGGUGUAUAAUCCUUUUUCUAUGCUGCUGGCUUUGGUUUGCUAGGAUUUUGCAUCUGUAUUCAUGAGGGAUAUUGGGCUGUAGUCUUUUUGUGAUGUCUUUAGCUUUAGUCACGUCACUACUGACCUCAUAGAUUGAGGUGGGAAGUGUUCCCUCCCCUCCUAUUUUUUGGAAGAGUUUGUGAAAGAUUGUUGUUAAUUAUUUAAACAUUUGGUGGAAUUUACCAGUGAAGGCUGGGCUUUUCUUUGUGGGAUUUUUUUCCCUAAUUCAGUAUCUUCAUUUAUUAUAGAUCUGUUUAGUUCCAGUAGUUUGCAUCUUUCCAGGAGUUUGUCCCUUUCUAGGUUCUUUGUUGCAAUCUGUUCAUAUAUAAUGGUUCAUAGCAUUAAAAAAAAUUUUUUUAACUGACAAGGUCUCACUCUGUUGCCCAGGCUGGAGUGCAGUGGUGCAAUCAUAGCUCACUCCAACCUCAGACUCAUGGGCCCAAGUGAUCCUCCCACCUCAGCCUCCCCAGUAGGAAGGACCACAGGCAUGCACCACCACAUUCAGCUAAUUUUCUGUCUUUGGUUUUGUUUUGUUUGAGACAGAGUCUUGCUCUGUCACCCAGGCUGGAGUACAGUAGCACAAUCAUGGCUCACUACAGCUUUGACCUCCCAGACUCAAGCAAUCUUCCCAUCUCAGCUUCCUGAGUAGCUAAGACUACAGGGGCAUGGCAGUAUGACUGGCUAAUUUUUUAAAAGCUUAUUUUUGGUAGAGAUGGGGUCUCACUAUGUUGGCUAGGCUGGUCUCAAACUCCUGGCCUCAAGAAAUUUUCCUGUCUUAGCCUAGCAAAGUGCUGGGAUUACAGGCAUGAGCCACCACACCCAGCCCUAAUUUUCUUUAAAAUUUUUUUGUGGAGACAGGAUCUUGCUGUGUUGUCCAGGCUGAUCUUUGUCAAACUCCUGGCCUCAAGUGACCCUCCCACCUUGACCUCUCAAAGUGCUGGGAUUGUGGAUGUUAGCCAAUGCUCCCAGCCUAUUCAUAGUAUUUUCUGGUUUUAGUAAUUUGAUUCUUCUCUCUUUUACUCCCCUUAGUCUAGCUAAAGAUUUAUCAAUUUUGUUGAUCUAUUUAAAGAAACAACUUCUGGUUUUGUUUAUUAUCCCCUAUGAUUUUCCAUUCUUUAUUUUGUUAAUUUCCACUGUAAUCUUUAUUAUUUCCUUUGGGUUGCUUUGGGUUUUAUUUUCUCUUCUUUUUCUUGUUUCUUAAGAUGGAAAAUUAGCUUACUGAUUUGAAAUCUUUUUCAUAUAGACAUUUGUAGCUAUAAAUUUUUAUCUCAGCACUGAUUUACUUCAUCCCUUAAGUUCUGCUAUAUUGUGUUUUCCCUUUUUUAAAUCUAAAAGUAUAUUCUGAUUUUUCUGGUGAUUUCUUCUUUUAUCUCUUGGUUAUUUAAGAGUUUGUUGUUUAAUUUCCACAUAUAUGUGAAUUUCCCAGGUUUCCUUCUGUUAUUGACUUCUUUUCUUAUUUUUGAGAGACAAGAUCUCACUUUAUCUCCCAGGCUGGAGUGCAGUGCAGUGAUCGCAGCUCACUGCAGCCUUGACCUCCCACCUCAGCCUCCUGAGUAGCUGAGACUACAGGCAUGAGCCACCAAGCCUGGCUAAAUUUUUAAAAAUUUUGUUGUAGAGACAGGGUCCGACUAUGUUGCCCAGGCUGUGUUGGAACUCCUGGGCUCAAGUGAUCCUGCCACUUUUGCCUCCCAAAGUGCUGGGAUUACAAGCAUGAGCUACCAUACCUGGCCUGUUACUGAUUUCUUAUUUCACUCCAUUAUGGCUAAAAAACAUAGAUUGUAUGAUUUCUCGUCUUUUAUAUGUAUUGAGAGUUAUUUUAUUGGCAUACCGUAUUUUCUGUCCCAGAGUGUUGAAGAAUAUCUAUCCUGCUCUUGUUGGGUGGAGUGUUGUAUAGAUGCCUGUUGGGUCUGAUUGGUUUGUAGUGUUGUAUAGACACCUGUUGGGUCAGAGGUUGGUUUGUAGUGUUGUAUAGAUGCCUGUUGGGUCUGAUUGGUUUGUAGUGUUGUAUAGAUGCCUGUUGGGUCAGAGGUUGGUUUGUAGUGUUGUAUAGAUGCCUGUUGGGUCUGAUUGGUUUGUAGUGUUGUAUAGAUGCCUGUUGGGUCUGAUUGGUUUGUAGAGUUGUAUAGAUGUGUGUUGGGUCUCAUUGGUUUGUAGUGUUGCAUAGAAGCCUGUUGGGUCAGAGGUUGGUUUGUAGUGUUGUAUAGAUGCCUGCUGGGUCUGAUUGGUUUGUAGGGUUGUAUAGAUGCAUGUUGGGUCUGAUUGGUUUGUAGUGUUAUAUGGAUGCCUGUUGGGUCUGAUUGGUUUCUAGUGUUGUAUAGAUGCCUGUUGGGUCAGAGGUUGGUUUGUAGUGUUGUAUAGAUGCCUGUUGGGUCAGAGGUUGGUGUGUGUGUUGUAUAGAUGCCUGUUGGGUCAGAGGUUGGUUUGUAGUGUUGUAUAGAAGCCUGUUGGGUCUGAUUGGUUUGUAGUGUUGUAUAGAAGCCUGUUAGGUCUGAUUGGUUUGUAGUCUGAUUGUUUAUGUCUUCUCUUCCCUUAUUGAUCUUCUGCCCAGUUAUAUUGAUAUUGAAUGUGAGGUAUUGAAUCCUUCAGUUUUGUCAGCUUUUGUUUCAUAAAUUUUGAAGCUCUGUUAAGUGCAUCUGUAUUUCUAUUUCUUUCUGAUGAACAGACCCUUUUAUCAUUAUGACAUGUCCUUCUUUGUCUUUAGUGAAAAAAAAAUGUCUUUAAGUCCCUUUUGUAUGUUAUUAGUAUAGCCACUUAGCUCUUUUUUGAUUAUUGUUUGCAUGGUAUCUUUUUUCACCCUUUAACUUUCAUUGUAUCUCUGAAUCUAAAGUGUGUUUCUUGUAAACAGCAUAUAGUGGGAUCAUGUUUCUUAUCUGUCCUGCUGGUCUCUGCCGUGAAUCUAAAGUGUGUUUCUUGUAAACAGCAUAUAGUAGGAUAGUGUUUCUCAUCUGUCUUUCUGGUCUCUGCUCUGAAUCAAAAGUGUGUUUCUUGUAGACAGCACAUAGUGGGAUCAUGUUUUUCAUCUGUCCUGCUGGUCUCUGCUGUUUGAGAGGGAUGUUUAAUCCAUUUACAUUCAGUGUGAUUACUGAGAAAGUUGGAUUUGUAUCUGCCAUUUCUAAAUUUGUUUACUAUAUUGUCUUUUUUGUCUUUCUUCCUUUAUUUCUCCAUUACUUUUUUGUGUUAAAUGGACAUUUAAUUCUCUUGUAACAUUGUAAUUUCCUUGUCUGUUUUACUGGGUUUUUUUAAAAGUAACUUUCUUAGCAGCUGCUCUGAGUAUUACAGUAACAACGUAAAACCAAUCAAGUGUUCAGAUGAACUUAAUAUAAUGUACAAAAACCUUCACUUCAAGUAGCUUUGUUUCCUCUCAGCUUCUUGGUGCUGUAUUUGUCAUAUAAAUGCUACCUUUUAGAUUGUAAGUCCGUCAGCAGUCUUGUAAUUAUUGCUUUAUGCAGUUGUCUUUUAAAUCACAUAGAAGAAGAAAAGAUGUACAAACAGAAAUGAGUUUCUGCUGUCUCUGUUGCUGGCUUUGCAGUUGUCUUUUUUGGUGCUCUUUGUGUGGAUUUGAGUGUGGUGUCUUGGACUUCAGCCUCAAGUAUUUCUUGUAGGACAGAUCUUCUAGCAAUGAAUUCUCUUUGUUUUUGUUUAUCUGAGAAUGUUGUAAUUUUUCCUUCUCUUCUGAAGAAUAAUUGUGCUGGAUAUGGCUGACUUGGUUGGCCCUCUUUUUCUUUCAGUCCUCUAUAGAUGUCAUUCCACUGCCUCUGGCAUCUGUGGUUUCCAUGGCGGGAGCACCGCACCAUGUCUCAGUCUCUUUUUAGCUUCUGACUGUUUGACUGUGGUGUGUCUAAUUGUGGAUCUUUCAGUGUGUCCUACCUGCAGUUCUUUGAGCUUCUUGGAUAUAGAGGUUAAUAUUUCUUGUAGUCUGAUUGUUUACAUCUUCUCUUCACUUAUUGAUCUUCUGCCUAGUUAUAUUGAUAUUGAAUGUGGGUAUUGAAUCCUUCGGUUUUGUCAGCUUCAUGUUCAGCCAGUGACUGGACAGGGGACCCCUUUAAGUGCUUUGCACCAGUAACUCUCAUGGUUCUGCUGACACACAGUUGAUGUGUGGUGAGUAUGCCUUCAGCGCUCCAUUGUGGUUCUGCAAAUUUGGGAAAUUUUAGGUUGUCGUUUCUCGAAAUAUUUUAUGUCCAUGUUCUCUUCCCCCACUUGGACUCCAGCUACGUGUGUUGAUGUGGAGCUGGGCACAGCCUUGGAGGCCUCCUUGACUUUCCUUUAUUCCGGAAUUUUUUCUUCUUCUCAGAAUGGGUCAUCUCAGUUGACCUAUCUUCAAGGUCACAGAUGCUUUUGCCAAACAAAACCUGAUGUCAAGCUGCUCUAGUGAAUUUUUCAUUUCAGUUAUUGUACUUUUCUACUCCAAACUUCCAUUUGGCUCUCUCCUAUAAUUUCUGUAUCUUUACUCAUAUUCUUUGUUUAGUGAAACAUUCUCAUACUUUAAUUCUGUAGACACAGUUUCCUUUAGUUAUUUGAACAUAUGUGUAGAAGCUGAUUUAAAGUACUUGUCUAAGCCGGGCGUGGUGGUGUGCACCUGUAAUCCCAGCUACUUGGGAGGCAGAGGCAGGAGAAUUGCUUGAACCCGGGAGGCAGAGGUUGCAGUGAGCCAGGAUCAAGCCAUUGUACUCCAGCCUGGGCCACAGAGCGAGACGCUUUCAAAACUAGAUAGAUAGAUAGAUUAGAUAGAUAGAUAGAUAGAUAGAUAGAUAGAUAGAUAGAUAGGAUAAGAUAAGAUAGAUAGGUGACUUGUCUACUAAGUUCAACAUCAGGGCUUAUUCAGGGGAAGUUCCUAUUGAUGACCUUUUUUCCCAUGUCAGAGCCAAGGAAAUAACAUACUCUUUCUUUGUGGUCUCAUAUAUAUGUAUUUUUUGAAGACUGGACACUUUAAUAAUGUGCUGUGCAACUCUGGAAAUCAGAUACCCUCUCCACGAGUUUAUUGUUGUUCUGUUGCUGUUACCUUUUGUUUAGUGUGUGUUCUGGACUAAUUUGAAGUGUCCACCUCAUCAGCUUCAUGUUCAGCCAGUGACUGGACAGAGGACCCCUUUAAGUGCUUUGCACCAGUAACUCUCACGGUUCUGCCGACACGCAGUUGAUGCAUGCUGUCCAGGUGUCCCUGCACCUCUUAUGCAUGAGCCCUCGCUUUGUGCCAAUGUGGAGUGCCCGCCUGCUCACACGUGCCCAUGUGGAGUGCCCGCCUGCUCAUGUGCCCAUGUGGAGUGCCCGCCUGCUCACACAUGUCGAUGCGGAGUGCCCGCCUGCUCACACAUGCCCAUGUGGAGUGCCCGCCUGCUCACACGUGCCCAUGUGGAGUGCCCGCCUGCUCACACACGUGUCCAUGUGGAGUGCCCACCUGCUCAUGUGCCCAUGUGGAGUGCCCACCUGCUCACAUGUGCCGAUGUGGAGUGCCACCUGCUCACACACGUGCCCAUGUGGAGUGCCCGCCUGCUCACGUGCCCAUGUGGAGUGCCCGCCUGCUCACACGUGCCGAUGCGGAGUGCCCGCCUGCUCACACGUGCCCAUGCGGAGUGCCCGCCUGCUCACACGUGCCCAUGCGGAGUGCCCGCCUGCUCACACGUGCCCAUGCGGAGUGCCCGCCUGCUCACACGUGCCGACGUGGAGUGCCCGCCUGCUCACACGUGCCCAUGUGGAGUGCCCGCCUGCUCACACGUGCCAACGUGGAGUGCCCGCCUGAUCACACGUGCCCAUGUGGAGUGCUCGCCUGCUCACACGUGCCGAUGUGGAGUGCCUGCCUGCUCACACGUGCCCAUGUGGAGUGUUCGCCUGCUCACACGUGCCGAUGCGGAGUGCCCGCCUGCUCACACGUGCCGAUGCGGAGUGCCCGCCUGCUCACACGUGCCCAUGUGGAGUGCCCGCCUGCUCACGUGCCGAUGUGGAGUGCCCGCCUGCUCACACGUGCCCAUGUGGAGUGCCCGCCUGCUCACGUGCCGAUGUGGGGUGCCCGCCUGCUCACAUGUGCCGAUGUGGAGUGCCCGCCUGCUCACACGUGCCCAUGUGGAGUGCCCGCCUGCUCACACGUGCCGACGUGGAGUGCCCGCCUGCUCACGUGCCCAUAUGGAGUGCCCGCCUGCUCACACGUGCCAUUGUGGAGUGCCCGCCUGCUCACACACAUGCCGAUGUGGAGUGCCCGCCUGCUCACACGUGCCCAUGUGGAGUGCCCGCCUGCUCACACGUGCCCAUGUGGAGUGCCCGCCUGCUCACACACGUGCCCAUGUGGAGUGCCCGCCUGCUCACACGUGCCCAUGUGGAGUGCCUGCCUGCUCACACACGUGCCCAUGUGGAGUGCCCGCCUGCUCACACAAAGCCCUGGCAUGGUGGUUCUGUAGGUUUCCUGUCCUGCCGGCCGAGUCAGACGCUGUUACCGUACAUUCUACUCAUGGUGGCUUUUUAAUACGUUUUUAUGUCAAGGAUCCCUUUUAUAUUUCUCUGCACCUCGAGAUAACGUAGGAAUAUUAGGGAUGAGAUGGAAGAGGAGAGGGUGUUUUUGUAAAAUUGAAUUCAGGACUGAUUUGUUAGCCUGGUGCUUUUCGUAUCAGACCUUUUAAUGAAUUUUCAUGGAUGCUGAUUAAAAGACAAACCUGUGA